GCUGCUUGGUGAUGAGGCCUGGAAUGAGCGCUGGGCCAGUGCCCGAAUCCCCCUGGGGAACCACUCCCUGUUGCCUUCCUUCUGAGAACAGC